UUUUGAAUUGUACAUUGCGGAAAACAGGAGAGGACAGACAUGGAAACAUUUAAGGAAACCAUGGCAACAAAUGGCUCAGUAGCUCUAUAACAGGUCUUGUUCUUCCCUGCUUCCUCCUGCGUUUGGCAUGCUGCGGUGGGGAGAGGCGAGCUCAGAUCGCUGCUUCGCUUCGGUUGCCUGCCGUUGAUGGGACAGUCUUCUGAGGCUCCUUGCAGAUAAGGCACAGAAAUUAAGGCCAGGAGUGAUGGAUGUUUCAGCUGGAAGGGAAACCACCCUGUACGGAGCCCGGGAAACUUCAUCCCCACUGAGAGCGGGAUAUAAAGAGCUUUUAUGGUGAUUGUCACCCUGUGUGGUGGGGAAGGAAGAGCAAACCGGGAAAGGUGAGCCAGCCAAGGCGCAGAAAGAAGAAAUGGUCCAGCUCCUGCCCUCUCUAAUUCGCAGACUGUUUCAGACACUAAAAUUGUGACAGCUUGCUCUUGUGAUAAAGAUGUUAACAAGAAGAGAAAAUGACAUUAAUUUAAUCUAUUCUUACAGGUCAUGCUGAAAUGAGACUGUGAUGAUACAAAAUUAUAAUAAUAAAUAUGGUAGUAAUUUCACAAUUCUUUAUAGAUACUGUUCACAAUCCUUUCACAUGCAAAUGUCCUAUCCUGUCCUUCAUGACAGUGAUUUUUGGUGCCAUCCAGACUCUGAUUCAGCAUCUUCUAAUAGUUGAUUCCAUAAUUACUUUAUAUUGCAAGAACAAUAUAAAAUACUAUCCCAGAUUAGGAUCUCAAGAUGGCUUUACUUUUAUUACUCUUUCUCCUGGGCCUCUAAGAACAUUUCCGAUUUAGGCAUUUUCCACAUUUUCAGAAGCAAAUUAGAUCAUCAGCA